UGAGGAAUAUUGGUCAAUGGGCGCAAGCCUAAACCAGCCAUCCCGCGUGCAGGAAGACGGCGCUAUGCGUUGUAAACUGCUUUUCCAGGGAGAGAAACUUGCGCACGUGUUGCGCAAUUGACGGUACCCUGGGAAUAAGCAUCGGCUAACUCCGUGCCAGCAGCCGCGGUAAUACGGAGGAUGCGAGCGUUAUCCGGAUUCAUUGGGUCUAAAGGGUGCGUAGGCGGACUAUUAAGUCAGUGGUGAAAUCCUGCAGCUUAACUGCAGAACUGCCAUUGAUACUGAUAGCCUUGAGUUUGGUUAAGGUAGGCGGAAUGUGUAAUGUAACGGUGAAAUGCUUAGAUAUUACACAGAACACCAAUUGCGUAGGCAGCUUACUGAGCCGACACUGACGCUGAGGCACGAAAGCGUGGGGAUCGAACAG
rnacentral:rRNA from 1 species